rnacentral:rRNA from 1 species
UACAGAGGUCUCAAGCGUUGUUCGGAUUCAUUGGGCGUAAAGGGUGCGUAGGCGGCGCGGUAAGUCGGGUGUGAAAUCUCGGGGCUUAACUCCGAAACUGCAUUCGAUACUGCCGUGCUUGAGGACUGGAGAGGAGACUGGAAUUUACGGUGUAGCGGUGAAAUGCGUAGAUAUCGAUAAGGAAGACCAGUGGCGAAGGCGGGUCUCUGGACAGUUCCUGACGCUGAGGCACGAAGGUCAGGGGAGCAAACGGG